AGGAGUGUAGCUCAGUGGUAGAGUAUUCGACUGCAGAUCGAGAGGUCCUUGGUUCAAUCCCGGGCGCCCCCU
rnacentral:tRNA from 1 species